GCUAAUACUUGACGGUUUUCACCCCUUGUCGAGUCCAUUCCCUCUGGGAGUGUAAUCGAUGAGGGCGGGGGAUGCUUCACGUAUCCUCUACAUAUUACCACUUUUUUUGAAUGAGGGUGGAAUAUAUGCCAAGAGAAUUGUAGAAAUCGAGAGAUUUUCACAAGUCAUCAUUAAGAAUAUCUGACCUAUCAACUGGUUGUUGGUAAGGUAGUGGCUUACCAAGGUGAUAACGGGUAACGAGGAAUAAGGGUUCGACAUCGGAGAGGGAGCUUUAGAGAUGGCUACCACUUCUAAGGAAGGCAGCAGGCGCGAAAAUUACCCAAUCUUAACAAAUGAAGGAGGUAGUGACGACAAUUAACGCUAUCCUCGUCUUUUGGCGAGGAUCGUCGGAAUGAUUUCGAUUUAAAAUAUCGAAAGAAAGCAAUUGGAGGGCAAGUCUGGUGCCAGCAGCCGCGGUAAUUCCAGCUCCAAUAGUGUAUUGUAAAGUUGUUGUGAUUAAAACGCUCGUAGUUGAAUGAAAACAAUCGGGACAUGAUUUACGAUCUCUCCUCCAUACGGUGGAUUCGUCCAUUAGGUCGAGUUGAUCAAAAAUCAAACAAUGUCCUACUAUAAGCGAGAGGGUGGAAUUAAUUCCAAACUCUUUUACUUUGAUUAAAUCAAGGUGCUUAAAGCAAAAUCUUCUGUUAACGAAUGAUGAAGCAUGGUAUAGAAUUAAAACAGAACAGAAAGAAUAACGAAUAAAUGGAGAUGGGCAACCAUUCGAAAUUUAUUUAUUUUUGUUUUGUUUAAAACAAGGUUAAGAGAAAUGAUUAGGGUGAUUUAGAUAGGAACGGGAGAGGUGGAAUUCCAUGAUCGUUUCGAGAUAAACGAGAGCGAAAGCAUUUCACUGAAUUCAUUUCAUUAAUCAAGAACGAAAGUCAGGGAAUCAAAGACGAUUAGAUACCGUCGUAGUCCUGACCAUAAACGAUGUCAACUAAGGAUUGGAUAAGAAACAUCGAAGUAUGAGCCUUUUUCUCCAACUUGUUGGAAAAAAAGCGUUUCGCUUCAUUUCUUCCCUUAUUCAGGACUUGAUGAGAAAUCAUUAAGUGAAUGGACUUCAGGGGGAGUAUGGUCACAAGGCUGAAACUUAAAGGAAUUGACGGAAGGGCACACCAGGAGUGGAGCCUGCGGCUUAAUUUGACUCAACACGGGAAAACUUACCAAGACCAAACGGUGUAAGGAAUGACAGAUUACUGGGUCUUUCAUGAUUCAUCGGGGAGU
rnacentral:rRNA from 1 species